AGACUGAACGCUGGCGGCAGGCCUAACACAUGCAAGUCGAGCGGUAGAGAGGUGCUUGCAUCUCUUGAGAGCGGCGGACGGGUGAGUAAUGCCUAGGAAUCUGCCUAGUGGUGGGGGAUAACGUUCGGAAACGGACGCUAAUACCGCAUACGUCCUACGGGAGAAAGCGGGGGACCUUCGGGCCUCGCGCCAUUAGAUGAGCCUAGGUCGGAUUAGCUAGUUGGUGAGGUAAUGGCUCACCAAGGCGACGAUCCGUAAACUGGUCUGAGAGGAUGAUCAGUCACACUGGAACUGAGACACGGUCCAGACUCCUACGGGAGGCAGCAGUGGGAAUAUGGACAAUGGGCAAAAGCCUGAUCAGCACUGCGCGUGUGUGAGAAGACGUCGUAGUAGUAAGAGACUUAAGUUAGGUAGGUAAGGUAGGUAACGUUAAUAACGUUAGUACAACUUAGUACGUACGUACGACGAA
rnacentral:rRNA from 1 species